rnacentral:sRNA from 1 species
UUUCUUUUAAAUCCAGGAAGUUUUGUGCCGAAGCCCGUAAUCCCCUAGGUCCGAAACCACAAUAUGCAAUAUUAGUUUCGUUCCAAACGUCACGCGAACCGGCGAUCUCUAAGUUUCGCCUAGGGUCUUUACCAAUUGAGCUAACGACACUUGGUCAUAUGUAUAUCUUUUAUCAAAAUCAAUAUCUCUUUUCCCUAUUUUCCUUUUUCUUCCCUAUAUAUUCCAAACAUUAUUAUACAUAUA